rnacentral:rRNA from 1 species
GAUGAACGCUAGCUACAGGCUUAACACAUGCAAGUCGAGGGGAAACGAUGAGAGAGCUUGCUCUCUUAGGCGUCGACCGGCGCACGGGUGAGUAACGCGUAUCCAACCUACCCAUUACAGGGGGAUAACCUUGCGAAAGUAAGACUAAUACCCCAUGGCAUUUUAUGGUGGCAUCAUUAUAGGAUUAAAGAUUUAUUGGUAAUGGAUGGGGAUGCGUCUGAUUAGCUUGUUGGCGGGGUAACGGCCCACCAAGGCAACGAUCAGUAGGGGUUCUGAGAGGAAGGUCCCCCACAUUGGAACUGAGACACGGUCCAAACUCCUACGGGAGGCAGCAGUGAGGAAUACUGGUCAAUGGGCGAGAGCUUGAACCAGCCAAGUAGCGUGCAGGAUGACGGCCCUAUGGGUUGUAAACUGCUUUUAUAGGGGAAUAAAGUGGGCUACGUGUAGUUUAUUGCAUGUACCCUAUGAAUAAGGACCGGCUAAUUCCGUG